GUGGGGAAUCUUAGACAAUGGGCGCAAGCCUGAUCUAGCCAUGCCGCGUGAGCGAUGAAGGCCUUAGGGUUGUAAAGCUCUUUCAGUGGGGAAGAUAAUGACUGUACCCACAGAAGAAGCCCCGGCUAACUCCGUGCCAGCAGCCGCGGUAAUACGGAGGGGGCUAGCGUUGUUCGGAAUUACUGGGCGUAAAGCGCACGUAGGCGGACUGGAAAGUCAGGGGUGAAAUCCCGGGGCUCAACCCCGGAACUGCCUUUGCAACUCCCAGUCUUGAGGUCGAGAGAGGUGAGUGGAAUUCCGAGUGUAGAGGUGAAAUUCGUAGAUAUUCGGAGGAACACCAGUGGCGAAGGCGGCUCACUGGCUCGAUACUGACGCGGAGGUGCGAAAGCGUGGGGAGCAAACAGGAUUAGAUACCCGAGUAGUCC
rnacentral:rRNA from 1 species